rnacentral:misc_RNA from 1 species
UUUAAAUCUAAAUUUCUGCCUUGAAUUAUUUUUCAAAGUUUUGAUCCAUGAGGUGUUAAAAAAACUUAUGAUACUUGAAUUAUUUCAGUUAGGUUAUAGUUUCAUGAUACUCAGUAAUGGCUUUGGAAAUCAUAACUCCAUAAACAAAUGGGAAAAUGAUAUUUGAAAUGCUUUGCAGUACUUUUAUUCUGUUAAAUUAACUUCUUGCAUUUGAACUAAAGAUGUAAUGUUAUAUUCACAGGAUGAACAAUUUAGAGUUAGCAAGUAGAAUACCAAUACUUAAGAUGUGAGGCUAAUGAGUCAAUUGUUUCUAACAGUAAUAUUAUAGUUUACCGUGUUUGACUAUUGUACCAUAUGUGGCUUAUGAUAUGCGGAGAUGCAAUACCCCUUUGCUUCCAUUUGUUCGUUGUGAUGUGGUUCUGAUCAUGUGUAAUGUGGUUGAUCUUUAAAAUUUGGCUGCAAAAUUAACAGCCCAAAUGGUGA